rnacentral:rRNA from 1 species
CGAACGGGUGAGUAACACGUGGGCAACCUGCCCUCAGCUCUGGGAUAACCCCCGGAAACGGGAGCUAAUACCGGAUAUGACCUCUUUGGACAUCCUUCGAGGUGGAAAGAAUUUCGGCUGAGGAUGGGCCCGCGGCCUAUCAGCUUGUUGGUGGGGUAAUGGCCUACCAAGGCGACGACGGGUAGCUGGUCUGAGAGGAUGGUCAGCCACAUUGGAACUGAGACACUGUCCAG